UUAAGCGACUAAGCGUACACGGUGGAUGCCCUGGCAGUCAGAGGCGAUGAAGGACGUGCUAAUCUGCGAUAAGCGUCGGUAAGGUGAUAUGAACCGUUAUAACCGGCGAUUUCCGAAUGGGGAAACCCAGUGUGUUUCGACACACUAUCAUUAACUGAAUCCAUAGGUUAAUGAGGCGAACCGGGGGAACUGAAACAUCUAAGUACCCCGAGGAAAAGAAAUCAACCGAGAUUCCCCCAGUAGCGGCGAGCGAACGGGGAGCAGCCCAGAGCCUGAAUCAGUGUGUGUGUUAGUGGAAGCGUCUGGAAAGGCGCGCGAUACAGGGUGACAGCCCCGUACACAAAAAUGCACAUGCUGUGAGCUCGAUGAGUAGGGCGGGACACGUGGUAUCCUGUCUGAAUAUGGGGGGACCAUCCUCCAAGGCUAAAUACUCCUGACUGACCGAUAGUGAACCAGUACCGUGAGGGAAAGGCGAAAAGAACCCCGGCGAGGGGAGUGAAAAAGAACCUGAAACCGUGUACGUACAAGCAGUGGGAGCACGCUUAGGCGUGUGACUGCGUACCUUUUGUAUAAUGGGUCAGCGACUUAUAUUCUGUAGCAAGGUUAACCGAAUAGGGGAGCCGAAGGGAAACCGAGUCUUAACUGGGCGUUAAGUUGCAGGGUAUAGACCCGAAACCCGGUGAUCUAGCCAUGGGCAGGUUGAAGGUUGGGUAACACUAACUGGAGGACCGAACCGACUAAUGUUGAAAAAUUAGCGGAUGACUUGUGGCUGGGGGUGAAAGGCCAAUCAAACCGGGAGAUAGCUGGUUCUCCCCGAAAGCUAUUUAGGUAGCGCCUCGUGAAUUCAUCUCCGGGGGUAGAGCACUGUUUCGGCAAGGGGGUCAUCCCGACUUACCAACCCGAUGCAAACUGCGAAUACCGGAGAAUGUUAUCACGGGAGACACACGGCGGGUGCUAACGUCCGUCGUGAAGAGGGAAACAACCCAGACCGCCAGCUAAGGUCCCAAAGUCAUGGUUAAGUGGGAAACGAUGUGGGAAGGCCCAGACAGCCAGGAUGUUGGCUUAGAAGCAGCCAUCAUUUAAAGAAAGCGUAAUAGCUCACUGGUCGAGUCGGCCUGCGCGGAAGAUGUAACGGGGCUAAACCAUGCACCGAAGCUGCGGCAGCGACGCUUAUGCGUUGUUGGGUAGGGGAGCGUUCUGUAAGCCUGCGAAGGUGUGCUGUGAGGCAUGCUGGAGGUAUCAGAAGUGCGAAUGCUGACAUAAGUAACGAUAAAGCGGGUGAAAAGCCCGCUCGCCGGAAGACCAAGGGUUCCUGUCCAACGUUAAUCGGGGCAGGGUGAGUCGACCCCUAAGGCGAGGCCGAAAGGCGUAGUCGAUGGGAAACAGGUUAAUAUUCCUGUACUUGGUGUUACUGCGAAGGGGGGACGGAGAAGGCUAUGUUGGCCGGGCGACGGUUGUCCCGGUUUAAGCGUGUAGGCUGGUUUUCCAGGCAAAUCCGGAAAAUCAAGGCUGAGGCGUGAUGACGAGGCACUACGGUGCUGAAGCAACAAAUGCCCUGCUUCCAGGAAAAGCCUCUAAGCAUCAGGUAACAUCAAAUCGUACCCCAAACCGACACAGGUGGUCAGGUAGAGAAUACCAAGGCGCUUGAGAGAACUCGGGUGAAGGAACUAGGCAAAAUGGUGCCGUAACUUCGGGAGAAGGCACGCUGAUAUGUAGGUGAGGUCCCUCGCGGAUGGAGCUGAAAUCAGUCGAAGAUACCAGCUGGCUGCAACUGUUUAUUAAAAACACAGCACUGUGCAAACACGAAAGUGGACGUAUACGGUGUGACGCCUGCCCGGUGCCGGAAGGUUAAUUGAUGGGGUUAGCCGCAAGGCGAAGCUCUUGAUCGAAGCCCCGGUAAACGGCGGCCGUAACUAUAACGGUCCUAAGGUAGCGAAAUUCCUUGUCGGGUAAGUUCCGACCUGCACGAAUGGCGUAAUGAUGGCCAGGCUGUCUCCACCCGAGACUCAGUGAAAUUGAACUCGCUGUGAAGAUGCAGUGUACCCGCGGCAAGACGGAAAGACCCCGUGAACCUUUACUAUAGCUUGACACUGAACAUUGAGCCUUGAUGUGUAG
rnacentral:rRNA from 1 species